UUAAUUAUUUAGAAUUAAAUGAAUUUAAUUUUGGACUUGCAAUGAAGAUUUGAUUAUUUAUGGAGUUAAUUCUAUUUGUUUUGUUGGAAGAUUUAAAAUAUUUUGGUGUGGGAUUUGGAAUUUAAAAAGGAAAAGAAAAAAGGGUUGAUUAUUAUUUUUUGGCAAGUAGGGAGAGAAAAAAAAAAAAGAAAAGUGAAGCCCUCCCCCCCGAAGGAAACCCUUGUCGUCGCCGCUGCUCACCCUCAAGCCGACGCCGUCAGCCAUCGCGUUUGGGUCUUUACCGAACGCCGACAACCCCUCGUCCAUGCUGUUCUUGAAACUCGGCUGCGCGAGUCGUCAGCCUCGUCGUCCGUCAAUCGUAGCCCACGUACACCUCUCCCCUCGCCAACAGCUCGCGCCGCCGCUCGCCCCUUCGCCAGUCGACGCGCCGUUUUCCAUAUCUGAGCCCGCCGCUCGACGCCUGUCGUCGCCUGCUAUCGUGGAUUGUUGUGUUAUGCCAGAAUUUUGGAGUUAAAAGUACAAUCGGAGUUUGGAUUGAAGAUUGGAUCAUUCCAAGUUGUUCAGCAUUACAAGGAUUGAUUUUUGAAGGAUUUUUGAUAAGUUUUACGAUGUUUUAUGAGUUUUCUUUAAAGGUUUUGAUUACCCGUUUAGUUCGGCUUGAA